CAUUUGUGAUGGUUGAUUAGUGGUUGAUAGAGGUUAUAUGAUUGAAAUGCAAUACAGAAUAAGUGAGAACAGACCGUUGAAGUUGUUCCGGGAGCGGCUUUCCGACGAUCAAGUUAGUGACCGAAAGUAUUUUGAGAGAGUUUUAAGCUUAGGUUAGCUAAAAUUGUGUACAUAUGAUAGAGACAUGGCAUGGCCUUUUACAGUAAAGUUUGGCGCGUGCUGGGACGCGCCGACUAGUUGACCCAAUUAUAUCCAUAAGGUGCAGUUGGUAGAUAGCAUAUCAUGUCGCAGCGUCUAGAUCCAUGCGUGUCAGAGAAAAUUUUACCGUUCAAGUUACCUAUAACUCUAACGUGCCGUUGGAAUUCCCGAUUUGUGUUGCAACUCUUUUGUUAGUGCUCGAAUUAAUAUUUUUAAUUAUUUCUUCUUUUUGUUGAUUUGAUGCUUGUGUCUAAACAAAAGCUAAUUGUGUUUUUGUAAAGGGUUUUGUUCAUGGAAUCAUCAUCCACGGCUCUUUCUACGAAGCUUCCUCGAGGCAAAUGCUGCGUGUUUGAAGAUUUUUUUAAUUUAAAACAACCCUUGUUCGUGGGUUUGUUUUUGUCUGUUUACCACGAGUGCGUUGGCAAUGUAGACAGCUGAAAAUUAAGUUAGUAAGAUAUUGAUAAUCAUGUGAUUGGAUAUUGUUUUAUUUUCAGAAUUUUUUUGUCGACCUUUGCGAUUCGAUCCUAUAGCUACGAUAUUGAUAUAACCAUAUAAUUGCACAUUGAUUUACUUUUAAAAUCAUACUUACUGAUCUUUUUUAUAAGAAAAAAGUGAUCAAAUUCUAUGACUAUUGAUAUCUGAACUUAAUUUUUUAUAUGAAUAACUACUUGGUGAAUCCUAACAAAUGGAAGGUUGGGAUCAAAUCAGUGAAUUUGGAACCCACAAAUUCUGUUAACAUGAUCCCGUUGUCAAAGAAAAAUAACAUUCUUAUUCUAAAUUUAUAUAAUAAAUAUCAUAAAGAAUUAUGUGAUAGUGACCGUGACACUUUGAUACGUAAAAGUCAUUUUGAUUAAUAUUUUGUUGGGUCCUUAUUCUACCACAACAUUUUGUAACGAAAUUCCGUAUAAAUUUUGAGUUUGUAUAUAUCAUUAUUCAUAAGGAACCAGCUCCUUAGACUGCAGAAUGCAGUCCAAAUAUUUUGAACUCAUUUUGAUGAUUCAAAAUUCGUAGACCUCAUCGUCGAGUUUAAUAUUAUAAAAAAUUAUAUUGAUCAAAUACAAAUUAAUAAUCUAUCUAUAACAAUUUAUAUUAAGAUAAAUAAGUAUAAUCAUAUGUGAUAUAUUUAUUUAUUAAAUUAUAAAAUAAUACUAAAUAAUACUAAUUUUUAUCUAAUUAAUUUAAUUUAUUAACUUGCUUUAAAAAACGAGUGCAGAGAAUCUGUGUUCUAUUCAUAAUCAGUAAGUUUCCUAUUUGGCCUGAUGUUUUAAAUAAUUGUGGGGUGACGAAAUUGGGCAUAUAUUUAGGGCAAUGUGUGUGAGAGACAAAUGGAAAGAUUGUGGAGGCUCCACCAGACACCUGAAGGCACAGAACUGUCGUGGACACGUGUCACAUUAAGGUCGCCAUCAUAGUGGACCCAACAGUGGUCUUGUUAGAUAUUUGGGACCCCACUUCAAAUGAUUUUGUAAAAUAAAUCCAAAAUAUUAUUUAUGCAAAAAGUUAAAUUAAUCCAAUUUCAUUUGUCUGAAGAAAAAUGUGAUGGUAAUAGAUGAUUUUAUAAUUAUUAUCUCGAAAUAAUGAUCCGAUCACGUAAUUAAUUAAAAAUUUUAACUUUUUUUUUACUAAAAACAAAAAUAAUUUACAUGUCAUAUGAAAUAUUUGAGGAGUAUUUUUAUUUUGGAUCAGUAGACUUAGAGAUGGCAAAAAAUUUUGCUUCACCCCACCCCUGCCUUGCAUUCGCCCCGAUCCGGGAGAACAUUAGCACACUUUCACAGGGAUGAAGUGGGAAUGAAAAAAAUAUUAAAACAAUCAAAAAUGAGACGGGGAUGAUUUUGGACGCCUCCGUAUUUUUUAUAUAGGUGAUCAUCUUUAUAGAUCUUACAAGAUGGAUAUUUUAAAUUAUCGAUAUAGAUUAAAAGUAGGGCCACAACUUAUCAACUUUAUCGUGAAGUCUAAAUCUAAAAUUUUAGAGUGUUUUUUAGAGGGUAAGUAAAUUUAGAGAAAUUUGAUCCUAAAUAUUUUGGAUUCCCACUACAAGGUCUACUUUAAUGAUCUCAACUUUCACCUUUUAGUUCCAUACACUGUGUGGUAAAAAAUCAAAUCAAUUUGAUAACAGUAACUACAUGAUUUAUAUAUGGUUUUAAAUUGGAAAAGUAUAUAUCACUUGCUACUGUUAUCAAAUUGAUAUAUUUUACACAUAAAUAAUCUAUACACAAAGGCUUUAAAAUAAAUUAACGAUUCUGAUCAUUGAAGUAAGUUUGGAAUGGGUUCAAAAGGCUGAAUAGUACUGUGAGAUGGUAAAAUA
rnacentral:lncRNA from 1 species